AUUUGGAUAGCCUUUUCCUAAGUGCAGAAGGACUUCCACAGACUCUUUUCAUCUUCACAACAACCCUGUGAAGGAGUUAUCAUUGUUCCCAUUCAGCACAGAAGGAUAGUGAGGCUCAAGCCAGGUUUUCUUCACUGCGUCAUUCAGCAAGUCCCUGUGCGAAAAGUUAGAGGAGACAAAGCAUGAGGAGGAACUACGCUUGAGAAAUUUACCAUCACUUAUCUGAUCAAACAGAGGAAGUUCUGGAGGCUGAGAAGUCCAAGAUCAAGAUGCUGGCAGAUUCAGUGUCUGCAAUGAAACCACCUCUGGUACAGCAACUGCAAUUGGAGUCACUGCUUGGUUAAAACCUACAAAAUCCACUGUCAUUCUCCAAAAUUCAUCUGUCUUCUGCACGGAUCAAAUAGGAACACCAUGAUCAACUAGCCAGCGACAUAGGUCUGCACCAGUCAGACUGUUGGAUUGCUGCUUUGACUCUGCUGUCCAUCACAGUAACCACACCCCCUUUGCCUCUGGCAGUUGAGCGCUUCCAAUUGGCCCCUGCCACCCUGGGAUCCAAUUACUCCCAAUUCAAUGGGUACAGUUCUGCUAUAACUUCUGGCCUAGAGAGAAGAGUGAUCGCAAGAGCGCUUCAAGGAUGCCAGGGCUCCCCUCAUAAGCUGCUAUAGACUGAAUGUUUGUGUCCCCCCCAGAGUUCAUGUGUUGAAGCCCAAAUCCCCAAUGUGAUAGUAUUUGGAUUAUGGGGUUAGUGCCCUUAUAAGAAGAGACAUGAGGGAGAUGAUCUUGCUUCUGCCAUAUGAGAAUACAGCAACAAAGUGGCUGCCUGCAGGCCAGGAAGAAGGCUCUCACUAGACACCACAUCCGCCAAUACCUUGAUCUUGGACUUCCCAGCCUCUAGGACUGAGAAAAAUAAUUGUUGUUUAAGCCACCUACUCUAUAGUAUUUGUUAUAGCAGCCCAGACUGACUAACAUAAGCCCACAGGCCGAAUCCCCUUGUUUUGGUACAGCCCUCAAUCUGAGAAUGGCUUUUACAUUUUCUAAUGAUUGAAAAAACAAAGGAAGAAGAAUAUUUUGUGACAAGUGAAAAUUAUGUGAAAUUUAAAUUUCAGUGUCCAUAAAUAAAGUCUUAUUGGAACACAGCUGCACUCGUUCAUUUAUGUAUUGUUUACGGCUGCUUUUGUGCUACGAGGGCGGAGCUGAGUAAUUACAACAGACCCU
rnacentral:lncRNA from 1 species